rnacentral:lncRNA from 1 species
CAUGGCGGAUCGUGGCAUUUUAGCAUGGCAGAUUAGUGCCAGCCACCAUAAGCUGUAACAUCAAUUAUAUACGCCAUGUUUCUGCCAUAGGCCACAACACCAUGUUUAUAUGGCUGGCCACCAUAAUCCUCCGUUGAUAGCACUUGUCAUUGCUAUGUACUAACAUCUAAGCAGGAUGAGAAACCAUGUCCGAUCGAGUAAGGAUGUGCAAACAAAAAUCUGUUGUAGAUUGGGCUGUUAGUUUCUGUAAGUUAUUUAGAGUUUCAAUAUCAUAAAUAUGGUUUUUGAUAUUAUUAGUUCUUACUUACUAUUUCAAGAUUUCAUUCUAUCUUUGAUUAUCAUACUCCAAUUUGGAAAAGGAAUAGCUUGUUAGGGUGUUUGGCCAUGUUAGAUCUAAAAAUAAAUGUUGAGUGUAAUAUUUGAGAUGCUUUUGAUUAAUAAAUAAUGUUUGCUUCAUUUCGAGUAUCUGGAAUAUGAGUAGCAGGCACACUUUUCCCAAAAGGAGGAUGAAUAACCCAAAUACAAUCUUACAGAAUGGAAGGGUCAAAGAAAGGGAUAGCAUGCAAACCCUGAAAUUUUUAGGAACUUGUAGUCAGGAAGUUGAUUAAACAGUUUAUAGUAGAAUGAGUUAAGCUGCAAAACAGUGGUUGGCAAUGACAUUCUUUUUAUGAGGAGCUGUGAGAACCGAGAAAGGCAAGAACAUGAUUCCAAUAAGUGAUUAAUGACUAUGUGAAGUCAGAAAUCAGUAAGACGUCUAAUUAAGGAUUUGUCGAAGGGGCAGAGAAGAUCAAAACUGACUAUGGUCGGUUUUGUGGCAUUUAUGCUUAUGUGUGCAGUUUUUUAUUAUGUGUUGAAAGUUAUAUGUGCAGUUUUUAUGAUGUGUGUCUUAUGACUUGUCAUAAACAAGGAAGUUGUGGCAAAGGGAGGGCCAUUCUGUUAUUUGGAUAAGAUUGGUAGGGAGAGACCAAGCUCUUGAAUUCUUGGAAGGGAGAGAUGCAAGACUCUCGAAUUUCUUGAGGAAUCAACUUAACCGUGUCCUUGUUCAAUUGUUC